rnacentral:rRNA from 1 species
GACGAACGCUGGCGGCGUGCUUAACACAUGCAAGUCGAACGGAAAGGCCCUGCUUUUGUGGGGUUCUCGAGUGGCGAACGGGUGAGUAACACGUGAGUAACCUGCCCUUGACUUUGGGAUAACUUCAGGAAACUGGGGCUAAUACCGGAUAGGAGCUCCUGCUGCAUGGUGGGGGUUGGAAAGUUUCGGCGGUUGGGGAUGGACUCGCGGCUUAUCAGCUUGUUGGUGGGGUAGUGGCUUACCAAGGCUUUGACGGGUAGCCGGCCUGAGAGGGUUACCGGCGACAUUGGGACUGAGAUACGGCCCAGACUCCUACGGGAGGCAGCAGUGGGGAAUAUUGCACAAUGGGCGGAAGCCUGAUGCAGCAACGCCGCGUGCGGGAUGACGGCCUUCGGGUUGUAAACAGCUUUCGCCUGUGACGAAGAGUGAGUGACGGUAAUGGGUAAAGAAGCACCGGCUAACUACGUG